AACUUUCAAUGAAAGUUGUUGAGGCAUUAAAAGAAGGGCUUACAAAUCGGUUUUCGAAUCUUGAGCAGAGCAAGUCCAUUGCCCUUGCUACUCUGCUGGAUCCACGUUUCAAAUUGCUGGCAUUUCAGAACCAGGCAGCAGCAGACAACACAAAGAAACAAUUAAUUAAUAUUGUUGCCCAGAAACUGGAAAAAUGUAGGCCAGUAGGUAUUCAGCCUUUACAAUCUGUUGAGCCAAAUAAUUUGGCAACUGAGUCCUUAUCUGUGUGGGGCAUAUUUGAUAAGUUAGUGAAACAUGCACAGCCACAGGGCACAGUACAGUCAUGUGCUAUCGUAGAGGUUCAAAGGUACAUUGACAGCUCAGUCAUCAGUAGAAAUGAGGAUCCUCUGGCAUGGUGGAGACAAAAUCAAUACAUAUACCCAACCAUUGCAAAAGUAGUGAAAGAGAGGUUUAAUGUUGUAGCAACUUCUGUGCCUUGUGAGAGGGUCUUCUCAAAAACUGGACAUUUAAUAAAUGACAGAAGAACCCGCCUCAAGCCAUCGAAUAUAGAAAAACUAAUAUUUCUGAAUGCCAAUGGUACCUGUGAUUAGUGCUGAAAAUUCUGGACCCGUGUGAGGUUUGCUUCCAUGGAGGUAACUAGGCACUUUCAACACAAGCGAACAAGACCACACAACUGUAUGAUGCCUAUCAAUAUUACAACAUGUAACUGGGCACUUUCAACACAAGCGAACAAGACCACACAACUGUAUGAUGCCUAGCAAAAUGUAAAAUAUGUAACUGGGCACUUUCAACACAAGCAAACAAGACCACACAACUGUAUGAUGCCUAGCAAAAUGUAAAAUAUAUACCUUUCACUUACUGCAAGUAUUUCACUUUGGCAUAAAUAAAGGUGACAGAGGAACAGGUCAUACUGGGAGCAGUAGGUCUGUGACUUGGAUGGAGCACAGUUACUGAUUUGAUGCCAUUAAGGCACAAAGCUUUGUAAUGAUUAAAAUGGUGAGUGAAUGUAAAUACUGGAAGUGUUAUUUCUUUAUACUAAAACCUGCUACUUUAAGUUAUGUUUCAGAAAUAUCUUGAGCACCUCGACUUGAAAAAUAACAGGAAUACCAUCUAGAAUAUUACAAGUGAGGACAGUCAGUCAAUGAUAAUCCAUGAGCUUAGGCUGAAGGAAAAAAAUUCUAUAUAUGUAAUAAAAGUUGAUAGUAAUGUGUGAUGUUGUAGACAUACAAUAAUCUGUUUUGUGCUAUCUUUUACAUAAUGAAUUUGGUGACAACAUGUGGAUCAAAACUGGAAUGAGCAAAGAAUACCAACCAAAUUUAAGACCCAAAAACCAGAAAGAGCCACGACCAGCGGUGGAACACA